GGCACUAACCGGCCGAAAACUUAC
rnacentral:rRNA from 1 species